UUUGAACCCGGAUCAAUGAAUCAGUAUCAAUUUCUAAAAUUCUAAAAAUAAAAAAUUAAUACAUUUCCAAGCAAUAACACAUUCAGAUUCCAGAUUGUAAAUCAUUCAUAAACAAUACAAAUUUCUAAGCAAUAAGCCAAUAACACAUCCACUAAUUUAAAUCCAUAAAUUUCAAUGUUUCAAAUAAAAAAAUUAAAUCACUUCAACGAGCUUGUGAGAUGUGACGGUGGCGAACUGCGAACCCGAGGCUGCGACGGACGACGGUGGCGAAUCGGAUUGUUGUUUGGAGGUGCAAGAACCCGAGGCUGCGACGGUCGUGAACGAACCUGAGAGUACGAGUUGCGACGGAAGACGGUAGCGAGCCGCGAGCCCAAGCUUCUGAGUUCUGACGGUGGCGAAUCGCGAAGGCUGUUGGCUGCAAGAAGCUAAGAACUGAAGCUUGACUGCUUGACUGCGAAUCGCGAAGGCUGCUGGCUGCAAGAAGCUAAGAACCGAAGCUUGACUGUUAGGCUGCGAAUCACGAAGGCUGCUGGCUGCAAGAAGCUAAGAACCGAAGCAAGCUGCAAGUUGCG
rnacentral:lncRNA from 1 species